rnacentral:rRNA from 1 species
AACGAACGCUGGCGGCAGGCCUAACACAUGCAAGUCGAGCGAGACCUUCGGGUCUAGCGGCGGGCGGGUGAGUAACGCGUGGGAACGUGCCCUUUUCUGCGGAAUAGCCUCGGGAAACUGAGCGUAAUACCGCAUACGCCCUUUGGGGGAAAGAUUUAUCGGAAAAGGAUCGGCCCGCGUUGGAUUAGGUAGUUGGUGGGGUAAUGGCCUACCAAGCCUACGAUCCAUAGCUGGUUUGAGAGGAUGAUCAGCCACACUGGGACUGAGACACGGCCCAGACUCCUACGGGAGGCAGCAGUGGGGAAUCUUAGACAAUGGGGGCAACCCUGAUCUAGCCAUGCCGCGUGAGUGAUGAAGGCCUUAGGGUUGUAAAGCUCUUUCAGCUGGGAAGAUAAUGACGGUACCAGCAGAAGAAGCCCCGGCUAACUCCGUG